rnacentral:rRNA from 1 species
UACAGAGGUCUCAAGCGUUGUUCGGAAUUACUGGGCGUAAAGGGUGCGCAGGCCGCGCGGGCAGUCAAAAUGUGUAAUUCAGGGGGCUCAACCCCUGCACUGCGCUUGAUACUUCCGCGCUCGAGCUUUGGAAAGGAGUCUGGAAUUCUCGGUGUAGCAGUGAAAUGCGUGGAUAUCGAGAAGAACACUUAGGGCGAAGGCAAGACUCUGGACAAAUGCUGACGCUCAUGCACGAAGGCUAGGGUAGCGAACGGG